rnacentral:lncRNA from 1 species
UGGUUGUUAAAUGCUUCCAUUAAAACUUGCAAUAAAGAGCAAUCCAAUAUCCAACUUCAAUUGCAACAAAAAAAAUGAAGAAUUAACCACAAAAGUUUCCCCAAUUUAGUAGGGUUUCAAAGGUCUCCAAUUUAAUUUCAAUUUUCAAUAAUAAUCCAAGUGAAGGGAAUUCUGCCUCUUUUAAAUUUGGGACUAUCUAUGUAAAAUUUCAUUUUUGUCCCUGGGACAUAAACCUAUAUUUUUGUGAUCACAGAAGCUUUCAGUGAUCGCCUUUAGAUCAUCGGGACCACUAGAUUUAACCUAGCUUUAUUGGUCAUGAUCGCAGCCCUCAUAACAUGAUCGUGGUAACUUAGACCAAUUCUUGCUCAGGGUUUUCCGGCUGCACUUAUCUUCUCUUUUUAAACCCUUUAAGGCUCAAUUUUACAUCUUUCCUUCUCAUCACAUGUCUACCUACAAAAUAUGGAAAUUAGUUCAUUCAACAAAUAAAAUUUUCUCAUUCAUAUCUCCAAAUCAUAGUAGUGUGGACUAAUUUAGAUUUUAAUGAGUGGUAAAUUCACCACUCAUAAAAAAUUGAUGGAAUGAUCAAGUCUUUCAGAGAAUGGAAGCUCAGCACUUCAUCGUAAAUAACUGACUUUGAGAUCACCUAUCACUAUGCUGGAAAAGUAGGAGUGCCAUCGAACCUUACAUCAUGUGGGGAUACAACAUCCAUAGAUGGUUAAUAGGUUAAGUACUAGCAUGUAACUCAGGAUAACAGUAAACUAAUGUUAGUCAAAAGUUCAAUUUCAAACUUACUGUACAUGUUCACAUACAUGCCUACAUAUAUAUAUAUAAUAGAUGCUGGGGGUAGGAACAAGGUUUAGCAUGAUAUUAAAAUAUUAUCCUAGACUAUAUAGCUCAACCAUCAUAAACAGACACCACAGGCUAUAUGAGUUUAGCUCCCCUCGCUGAAAGGGCCCUAGUGUAUGCUAGCUGCAUGAACCAGAGGUAUCAAGGAAGACCAUUAAAUGCCUCAACCCCAUGUUAAUCCAAUAUACCAAUACAUAUAUCAAUAGUGUCAACAAUGUCAACUAUGCAUACGGUCAUCAAAACGAACCCUCACAUCGACAAACAUGAGUUUCCAGUACAAGUCAUUUAAGACCCACACCUUCACAGCUUAGCUAUGUAACUCCCACUAAGCCCAAUUAAAACAAGUUUGACGUAACCCAUUCAUUAGCCAUGGAAUUAUACACUAAGUCACACCACAGGCGUCGUCAUACCUUACGAUUUCAAGCUUAUAAUUAUGCCAUUACAAUUUAAUUAACUUGGGGGAAUGGCUCAACCCCCUUUGUUUAUUAAAUUAAGUUUGAGGAAUGUCUCGACGUCCUUUAGUUAUUAAUUCAAAUUGGGAAAAUGCCUCGACUCCUUUGUUCAUUAAAUAAAAACAUAGACAAUAACGCCUUCAAAAUCUAUGUUCAUUAGUUAACAAUUUAUGUAAUGCAAUAGUAUAGGUGUGUAAGUCAAACCAAGAGACAAUUCUAUAAUUCAAAACUAUUUACCCAAGUGGGUUGAGAGAAUACAAUUGUUCAAAAUAUCAAUUUGAGGGAUUACCUCGACCCCCAUUCCAAUUCCCAUACCCAUGCACCCCAUUUAUUUAAAAAAUUCAAUUCAAAGCAUGAAUAACUCAUGAAAAUCAUGAAAAAACAAUUCAAGAAUCACCUAUUCCAAAACCCUCAACCCAUGUCAAAGCCCAUAUUCAAAUCCAUAAAUAAAACCAUUUAAACACAUGCUUUUCACAAAAUAAGAUUUGGGGAAGAGUAACAUGCCUGAAAGUAUCACAACUAUGGAGAGAAAUCACCAUUGAGAGCCCUAAUUGACAACCUUCUUGAAAACCCUAAGUGUUCUUGACCUUGGAAAUUUGAGAAAGGUUGAGAAGUUAUUUUGAUUAGUUUCAUAGUGAUAAUAAUACCCUAAAAGGGUUUUAAGUUGUGGGUCAUGAUUGGGGAAGAGGGGAAAUAUCCAAAGUGCCCUUAAUGAAAACAUUGAAAAAUUAUCGUCGAGUCGCUAUGGGCGACCUUACGACUCAUCGGGUUACCCUACGACUCGUGACCUCCAGUUGUAGUCUACAAAACAUCCAGGGGCACCUACACUGAUAUGGAAGUCAUACCAUAUGACGCAUAAUUAUAUAUUAUGACUCGUUAUGUUUAACUGUAGUCAAGGCAAAAUUAAUUGGGCACCACACUGGUUCAUCGAUAUAUGGGACUAUACGACUCGUUAUGAGCCAAUCAUAAUCAUAAUAGAAACAUGACCAAUCCAUACUAUUCAAGAUAUGAUUAGGGUCCUACAACCCAUAAUUACACCCUACGACUCUUAGGGUUAAUCAUAAUCUAGGAAGUAAGCCCAUAGGUUAAGAAAUUUUCAACAACAAAAAAUCCAGGGUGUUACAGAAUUAGAUUGAAAUUACUGAAAUAAAUGAAAAAUAUGGUCUUGAAAAGUCCAAGAAUAACAUAUAAAGUUUUAAAUAUAGGUCAAGUGUUACAUAUUCUCAUUAUUUGUGUGUGGAGGUUUUUUAUGCCGUCAUUGCUUUGCAACUUUCAGAGCUUAACACUCAAUUUAAUGAAGUCAAUACUGAUCUGCUUCUUGGAAUGACGAGUUUGUGUCCUAAGAAUUUUUUUGUCAAUUAUGAUAAAAAUAAUAUCAUAAAGCUUUCUACCUAAGCUUGAAUAUCUGAGUUUUGACCUUGACAAUUAUAUUUAUUAUGUGAGAUAUAUGGAUAAUGAUUUCUUAAAUUUGAAAGGACUUGGAGAUCUUUCAAUGAAAUUGGUUGAAACAAAUAUAUAGAAGACAUGGUUUCUUAUUUAUUUUCUUGUGAAGUUAAGCUUAAUAUUACCCUUGGCUACUGCAAUAGUGGAAAGAGCUUGUUCCUCAAUGACGUUUAUUAAAAAUGAUUUGUGAAGUAGAAUUGGUCAUGACUUAUUGAAUUAUUGUUUAGUUUGUUACAUAGAGGAUGAAGUAUUUGAAAGUGUAUCUAAUGAUGAGAUGAUUGAUCAUUUUCAAAAUAUAGUAACUCAUCGAGUGCAAUUAUAAUGAUAGUGUUUAUAUUUAUAAUAUUUUAGAAGUUAAUCAUUUUCUUCAUAUGUGAAAUAUUGUUACUUGUUAGUUAGUUUGGCUAUGAUUAUGCACUAGCUUGUAAUUAUUAUCUUGUCUUUAAAUUUAGAACCCACAUACUUUAAAUCCUGGCUUCGCCUCUAAUGGAGGCAGGACGAGAUGGGGAUUGGGGGUUAUAGGGUGGAGGUGAGGGUGCGGGGUAAUCUUAGGCGUAUUUAUACACCUAAGUGUUAUUAUCUAUGCAUAACUUUAUUCCGAGGAUAACUUGAUGUGCUUAAUAAAGUAUACAUAUGUAAUUAUGUAUUUGUGCACUAAGUUGCAUGUUUAGAGUUCUUAAGGUGAAUUUGAAAUAAGUCAAGAGUUAAAUGAUCAAAUAGAGUUUAGAUGAAAAAACUAGUGAUGCAAGCUUGAGAUAUGCUUAUUCUAGUGUACUUUGAUAAGGUUUGUUGUGUUGUAUAGACUAUUGCUUGUUACAUGAUGUUGUAGGGGACCGUUGGAGGUGCUAUAGAGGUUAAACAAAUCCUAUAAACAAGUCAUAAAUUGUAAUGAACCUCAAAGUCAUUUUUUGCUUGCCACUCAUCUAUCUACCCCAAGUCAUUUUCCACUUGCUAGAGCUAACAAUUUAAUUAUCAGUUAGUUCAUUUGAUUUUUAGAGUUAAUUCCUUAUUUUGAAGUCUUCACUAGUAAAGAUUGGCUAUCGAGCAAAACAUCCAUUUUAACGACCCUGUGUGCAAAUCUAACACUUUCAUCAGCUUUGAAAUGUCAAAUUUAGGCUUGGGAGACCUUUGGCUGGGGUCCCAAGGCUUCAAAACUCAUUUCAGACUAUUGGUCGAAAUUUGAUAAAAAUAACCCUUGGGUAUGGGUCCUAGAUUUCAGCAAAAUGGCCCUGGAUGGAAAUCUCAAUUGCGUGAUUAAGCUAGAAUGUCAAAUUUUAUAGGGUAGCAUAUUUUGUUUACAUUCAUUGGAUUCCAAAUAAAUCUCGAGGGGUCGGUGGAAAUUUGAAUUUUCCAAGUUUCAGCUGAUGCAUCACUCAACUGGUGCAUCUUCUCAAGCGGACAAAGUUUGAUUAAGAGGGCCCAUUUUAGCGACCAUGGCUAGCCAAGCCGGGUUUCUAAAGUGGAGGCCAACCCACUAAAGAGGAGGCCACUUAAGCGGAUACUUGUCCUCUUUAGAAAAAAGGUCAUAACCUAGCGGGUUCUGCUUAACCGGUACUUAGCCGCUUUAGCGAUGAACACUAAAGCGUUCAAGUUCCUGCUUAAGCUUCACUUGGGAGGUUAUUAAAUUGCUCCCUUGCACGAUUUUCUCCCAUUUUUGUAUGAGUCUCAAGAGCUAAAAACAUUAGAGAGUGUGGGAAUUAUUCAGACUAAUUCUUAGAAGAUCAUGGGGGUGUUUGUGAGCUCGAAUUUAUCAUUCCCUUAUUCAAACCCUUGUAAGUUUCCGUCUAAUUAUUGGUUUAGUUUUUCUAUUUAGACCCAAAUCCCUAGAUUAUUGGUAGGUUGAUUUUAGUAUCAUUUGGGCAUAGAAUUUACCUAUUUUUAUGGAUAAAUGAUCCUUGAGCAUACAGGAACGUGUUGAUAGUUUUGAAAGGGUGAUUCUGCAAAUGGGCUCCGCACGAGAUUUUUGCUUGAUUUUGGACCCAAAGCUUAAAAAUGCAUUAUGGGUACUGUUAUUCUCAUAUUGAUUAGUAAAUUACCAUUUUGAUAGUGUGGCAUCAUGUGGAAGCUUCUAAGAAAGGAAAAUCAUCAAUUUAGUAGAUUUCACCAAGCUUUCUUCGCUGUCCAAGUAGGCUAUAUUGACUUUUCUCCUAUAUUGAGAUUAAUUGUAGUAUCAAUGUGAUAAUAUGCUAGUUUUGGGUUGGGAAUUAGCUCUUGGAGUUACAUUUAGUGUGAAUUGGAGGAUUUAGCUAAUUUAGGAGCUGUAAUGAGGCAUAAUUGACUUAGUUUCUUAUUCUUUAAGAAGAAUUACUAUCUGAGGACGCAAUGAAACUUAUUUAACUUCUAGUAGUGAUAUUUUAUACCUUAGCCUACUUUAGGGUCCUUAAAAUGAAUUGUCGGGGUUUAGAAGUUGGACCUUCUGGUCCACCUUAGGCCAAGAUUACUAUUAACUCUGUAUGGACUCCACAGACAUGGUACAUUAUCUUAACAAGUUUCUUGGUACCGAAAAGUUUUAGACAUAUGAUGUUCAUUCUAUACCUGUGCUUGGGAGAUGAUAAGACUAGUUUAUUUAUGGCAUUAUUGAUGAUAUUGGUUUCGGUUAAAGUCUAGUGAUUUAUGAUACUAAAACCGAUUUGGUUUUGACAUUUUUGAUGAUAUGAGUUUCGAUUUAAGUCCGGCAUAUGAGACACUUGUUCUACUUUUAGUCUGGCAUUGAGAGAUUAUUUAUUGUAGUUAUGUUUACAGUAUGGAAGGAUCCACAAUUAUGAUUUUGAGAUAUGGUUAAUUAGUAUAAUUUAUGUUACUACUUCUCCUUUAUUGCACCCUCUAGGAUUAUGGUGGCCUGCAUUGGGUUAUUUAUUUAAUUACCCCUUCUGGGCUUAUGGCCCCCCCAGUUAUAUAGUGAUAGCUAUGUUUUCUUUAAUAUUACUAUUCCAGUUAUUUACUUAUAGUAUUUGGAGAAUUAUCCAGGUUUUCUGUUAUACCUUGACUUAACUUAUUUAUCUCGCAUUUUAUUAUAUUUAUUGUAAUUCAGGGGGGGGGGGGUUAAUUGAAAAAUAUUUUCCUGAGUUGACUUAUUAGUCUUGACAUUCAAUUCACCUGCAAAUUAGUAUACUGAACAAAAUAGAUUAAGCAUAAAUGCAUAAACAAAUAAAUAAGUAAGAUAGUGAAACAUAGAUUUAUCUUGGUUCGGACCAACGAUGUGGUGCCUACUUCCAGUCCCUUUAGGUUGCAAGAGUAUCCUUAAAGGCUUCAAUGUAGAGUUGGAGUAUAGAUGUAGUAAACAAGUUUUAAAUAUUAUUUUGUUAUUUAGAUCUUGUAAAACAACCUUAAAUGGUAUGACUUAGUUGACCUUUCUCUUUUGUAGCUAUUGUAAACUUAAAGGUACAAAGCUUUAUGGAGACUAUGAUUGAGACACACUGAGAAUUUUUUGUGAAGUUGCGUAUCAUCUCUAGAGUUCACUCUUCCCCUUUUAUAUUCGUUAGCUGAUCCUACUACGUUGCUCCAAAUGGAAACUCUAAGGGAUUUCUUAUCAAUGAAGUAUUUGAUUUGAUUCCUUGAUUAAGGGUAAUAUGUCUAUAUCAGAUAUGUCUAUGCAUAAGAUAUAACUUGCCUUUCUUCAUAACCAUUCAUGUCCAUAUAAGAUAUGUCCACAAAGAGGGUGUGAGCUUCUUUCGAUAUUGCUCUAUGAUUUUUUGAUCAUCUUCCUUGCAAUCUGGGAUCUAAUAAGAUCUUACAAGAUUUUCUCUUGAUGCUAUUCCAGAUCCAGCUUUGACUUCCUUGUAAUCAGGGAUUGCACUAGUUGUUCUUCCAAGUAUAUCUCCAUGAUGAUCUUUUUUCCCUUUAUUACCCUUCUAGUAUAUCCUUUAUGUUAUUAACCAUUAGUUUGUAAUUAUUAAAACAUAUUAUGUUGAUAUGAGAAGCUAACAAUCUCCCGCAUUUUUGAUAAUGACAAUUAUUAAACAUCAGUUGACUUCUCUAUCAUUGUAGUCGACUGGCUCCCCCUAUCCUACUGAUUCCAUGCCUUCAUUGCAGUCAACUGGAUCCUCCUUUGUUGUAGCUCUUAUAUAAUGUUGACCUCUUCUCCCCCUUUUGACAUAACCAAAAAGAGCAGAGCACGCAAAAAACAAAACAAAGGCAUACAAAGAAACAAAGGUAAAACACAUAACAGAUAACCAUGUAAUGUUUGAUGCAAAACAAAAGAAAAUUGUGGUAGGAAUAUUUAAAAUUAUCAGUUACAUACCCAAAAUAUAGAAAGGACAAAACCUUUUUGAAUAGCAGUCAGGAAGUUUAUCAUUUGGCCAAAAAAUAGGUGAGAGUGUUGUGCAUAUUGUGAUAGAAAUGUUUUCUUUAUAUAAUUUUGGAGAAACUUGAGUAGGAAUUUUGGACAGAUAUGGAAAUCUCGUUGUUGGAGAAGUUAGUCACAGAUUUGAUGGUGUACACCCUCGUAAAGUUUUUAAACAACUUGACACUUUCCUACUUUAGACCAUCAAGAGAUAAGCGUAUAUUUCUCACAUUAAUACAAAUUUCCUUACUCAACUACAGCAACCUGGUAGUCGACUCCUGAAGAACCAACAACCCUUCUUUAAUUUCCUUGAUCCAAUCCUUAAGUUCCUCUGUUUUCUUCACCACAGAGAGCAUAGGGUUAGACAUAGAUUUUCUUACGCUAGGAAUGUCAGAUCGAGCUUUGGCAAAAUCUUUAUUGAACUAUUCAUUAUUGACUAGGACAUAUCCCAUGCUGGCAAAUGUCUUAAGAGUUAUAGAUGGCUAAAACUUCUAUAACCGGGUUCUCAAAGAGAUCAUUUGAGUAGUAAAAGAGGAUUUUAGUAAUUAGUAGUCCAUAGGAUAAGCUAGCUGAGGCAUGUACAUCUGCAGUACUUUCAAACAUAUAUUCCUUAAACUAGGUAGCCCAAUUAAUUUUAUACUUCUUAACCAUGCAAUACAACACUUUUCACAUCCCAACAAGUAACAUUAUGAACAGAACCUUUACGAGGAAUUAGAGUGGUGGCGAUAAUGUGAGCCAAAAUUCUAUACCUAAAAGGAAGUGGCAGAGGACCAAAGUUGGGUAGAUUUAUUAUAGGGACAGAAAAAGACUUUUUAGCUUCUUCGAAGCUAACCUUGAAAUUAUCAGACAGAGAUCCAUUCAUGAAUGGAAUGACCCAGAGAUCUUUGUAUCAAAGACCUUUUCAAACAAGAAGUCAUUUAGAAUGUUUCUUGUUCCAAGCACCAGAGUUUCCAACUUACUACUAUCUUGAGAUAGGUGGAGAUUUAUAUAAAACAUGCAUACAAGAUCCUCAUAAACUUCCAUACUACAGAUAUAAAAAACCAUAGGUAAGUCAUGGGAUAUGAUAAGGAACUUAAAUUGCAGUGAGAUUCCUUUAAUUGUGAGAGAUUUAUAAUUUCUUUUGAUCAUAAUAGAACAUCUUGUGAAGGUGAAAAACUUCUCCCAUUGCGAGCAAGUCCAGAAUUUAAACAUGUCCACUAGUGAAAGAGAGUCCAGAAGAGAGGGAUGACUUUUCUUGAUAGAAGAGUUAGGUUUAGGAGUAGAUCAUUUUUUAUUAAUGGUUGACUACAGGGAAUGAGAGAAGUCUUUAGAGGACCUAGAGAUAAGGACUAGGUCAUGGUUAUUGGAAAGGUCAUCUGGAGGAGGUUUAGGGAGAUUAUCCAUUGAUCUGGUUCUAGUCAUUGAGAAAGAAAAUAUGGCGGGAGGGGGAUAAAAAGGAGAAAAAAAAAGAUAAAACAGGGGGAUGUUGAAGGAGAUGAAGAGAACUGAGGUGACUAUUGAAAUGAAGGGACGAUAUAUUUGUUGGUAAGUGAAAAGGUAAAGUGAUGGACAAGGUCUUUGAUACAAAGAAAUGAUGCUUGGCUAGAAAGGUAAUGAUGCGGAGUCAGAAAGGUAAAAUUAUGGACAAAAUUCUGUAUAAAAGAAUUUUUACCAAAAUAAAAGGGACUAUCCAAUUAAAAGUCAUUAAUGUAUUAUAUACCAAGUUUUUCCUUAAAAAAUAAAAUCUUUUUUCUAGUAGAGGUUUAAUAAAAAUUUCAGCAAGUCGAUUUUUAGAAUCAACAAAUUGUAAGGAAAAGUCUCCAUUUUCUACAUGAUCACGAAUAAAAUAAUGCUUAAUAUCUGUAUGCUUGGCCCUAGAAUAACGCACAAUGUAUUUGACAAGCUAAUUGCACUAGUAUUGUUACAUAUAAAAGGUAUAGAUUCAAAUAAUGGAUCAAAGUCAAGUAAUUGUUGCAUAAUCCAUAGAAUUUGAGUACCACGGUUGCCAAUGGCUAUGUAUUCAACUACAGAAGUUGAUAGAGCAAUUUAAGUUUAUUUCUUGCGAUGCCAUGAGAUUAGGGCAUCACCAAGAAUCUGACAUAUUUCUCUAGUGCUCUUUCUAUGACUUUUGUCACCUGCAAAAUAAACAUCUGAAUAACGAACUAAUUCAAAGUUUGGGGAGAUAGGGAACCAAAGUCCGACAUUUUGUGUCUUAAUGAGAUAUCGAAUAAUUUUUUUGACGGCAGUCAAGUGGGAAUCUUUGGGAGUUGACUGAAACCUUGCAUAUUUGCACACACUAAACAUAAUGUCUGGUUAACUCGCAUUUAAGUAAAGUAGAUAUCCAAUUAUUUCUCUAUAUGACUUUUCAUCAACAUCCUUUUCGUAUGUAUCUGAAUCUAGGUUGCUUGAAAGGUUUAUUAGAGUUCUGAAAGCCUUUGCUUUUUCCAUUCCAUAUUUCUUGAUAAGCUUCUUGGUGUACUUGAAUGGGAUGAUAAAGGCACCUUUGGAGGUUUGCCUGGUUUAUAAACCCAAGAAGAACGUGAUUUCUCCUAUGAAAUUCAUUUCAAUUUUCCCUUCAUUAGAUUUGCAAAAUUAUAUCACAAAGAAAUGUCAAACCUCUCAAAAGUGAUAUCAUCAACAUAGAUUUGUACAAUAAGUAAAUUAGAGUCUAACUUUUGAUUAAAGAGAGUAGUAUCUAUUUUUCUAUUUGAAAAUUAUUGUUUAACAAAAAAGUAUUUGAGACCGUAGAGUGCAUUUGAGAUUUAGAAAACAUAGUUUGGAUAAGAUGGAUUUUCAAAACUAGGAGGUUCUUUAGCAUUAAAUUCCUUAUGAUUUUAUCCAUUCAAAAAAGAACUUUUCAUAUCCAUUUUAUACAACUUAAAAUGUUUAAAAGUAGCAAAAUCCAAUAGAAUUUGAAUCUAUUCUAACAUUGCUACAGGUGGAAAGGUUUCAUCAUAAUGAAUAACUUACUGUUGGGAGUAGCCUUGAGCUAUAGUCUGGCCUUAUUUUUGAUAUCCUUACCUUCUUUAUUUAGUUUAUUCUUAUAGAUCCAUUUGGUUCUAACAACUGAACAAUUCUUGGGUCUUUUAACUAGAUUCCAAAUUUGAUUUUGUUAAAAUGGUUCUAAUUCUUCCUUUAUGGACUCAACCCAAGACUUAUUUUUUAGGGCCUCAUCAAUCUUCUUGAGCUCAAUUUGAGAUACAAGAGCAACUUAUGACUAUUUUCUUAAUGCCGCUCUUAUAUGCAUCUUAUCAUCUGGUUUCCAAUGAUAAAUUCAUUUGGAAAGCUUGCAUUAUAUCUUUAUUUUCUUUGAAUAUUUGAUUUCGUUGUUUCAUCUAUAAAAACUAACUUUGGAUGGACUAUAGUCAACUCAUAAGUUGAUGGUUCAGGAGUUAUGUCUGCUCUGACUCCUGACUGUAGAUCCUAUACCUGCUCUUCAUCAAAACUCAAGCUCAUAGAAGAGUGAUUAGUUUCAUCAAAUACAAUAUACAUAGAUUCUUCAACUCAUAGAGUCUGUUUAUUAUAAGCCUUGUAAGCGCGACUGGUGGGAGAGUACCUAAGAAAAAUACCUCCAUCAGUUCAUAGGUCAAACUUCCCUAAGUUAUUCUUACCAUUAUUAGGGAUAAAGCAUUUUCAUCAAAAGGAUGAAAAUAACUGAUAUUAGGCUUUUUUUCCUCUUUGCAACCCAUAAGAAGUCUUCUUUAGGAUUGGACUGAUGAGACAUCUUUUGAGAAUGUGACAUGCUGUGCUUUCUGCCACUACCCAAAAGUGAUCUAGUAGGUUAUCUUCCAAAAGCAUGGUUCUUGUAUUAUCUAGAAGAGAUUUGUUCUUUCAUUCCAUUACAUUGUUUUUUUGUGGAGAUCAAGGAGAUAAGAAGUUCUGAGAGGAGCCGUUUUAUGCAUAGUACUCCUCGAAACCUUUAUUUUUGAAUUCUCCUCCAUGAUCACUAUGAAUAUAGGUGAUGAAAUGUAUUGCUUCUCCUUGUACUCUUAAAUAAAAGAUCUUAAAAUUAGUGAAUUCUUCAUUCUUGUGAGUAAGAAAUAAUACUCAAGUGAAACGAGAAUAAUCAUCAACAACAAUAAAUACAUAUAUUUUUCCUCCAAUACUUGCGGUCUUAGUGGGGCCAAACAAAUCUAUGUCGAUGGUUUGAAGUAGUUUGGUGGUAGUGAGAAUAUCUUUGACUUUAAAUGAUGUUCGAGUGUAUUUACGAUGUUUACUAGCACCACAAAUGUGAUCCUUCUUAAACUUUAGCUUUGGCAGACCUUUCACCAAUUCAAGUCUGGAAAGUUUUUUGACGGCAUGCAUGCUGGCCUGCCAAAGUUUUCUAUGCCUCAAUCAUGUGUUACUAGUUUGCACAGUGAGACAUAUAAGAGUAUCAAGAUUAGGAUUAUUUAGAACAUAUAUAUUAUCAACACAUUCAUCGAUAAGAGAAAUGUCUUUUUUUAUGUUUAAUGGAGCAACUCUCAGCGUUGAAGGAUACUCCUACAUCACAUAGUUGAUUGAUUUUCGAUAGGUUGUGUUUGAGUCCAUCCAUGAUAUAUACUUCAAAUGAGUACGCAGAGGAGUUGAGAUUCACUGAGCCGACUCCAAUGAUGUCACCUUUGGCAUUAUCCCAAAAUCUGACUGAUACUCCUUUAAUUUUCUUUAGAGAACAAAAAUCUUUUUUUUUGUCAUGUUUUUGGAACAUCUACGAUCAAUAACCCAUAUUCCUUUCCUAUAGCUUUUGUAGAUAUGUUUUAAUUAAAUAAGAAGAUUAAUUUUAUUUAGGUAUCCAAGUGAUCUUGGGUCCUUGAUGGUUAGAUGUGCUUUGUUUGGGUCACAAAACCAACACACCUAUAGACUUUUGUCUGCAAUUGUGUGAUUUGUGCCCCUUUUACCAUAAGUGCAGCAGACUGGUCUUUGAAGAGAAAAAGAAGUUUUAGAAGACUCAAAUGAACUUAAUGAAGAUCUUUAUUUAGCUUUAGAAGAAUUUGAUCUUAUGGAAUUGUGACUUGGUGAUUUUCUAAUGUUGUUUAACUAAAUUUUUAUGUCAUUAAGCUUUUUUUAAAGUAGGUCAGUUUCAAUUUUACAUGCUUCAAGUGCAAUCUGCUAGUUUCUUGUUUCUUCUUCAAGCUUUCAUUUUAAUUGAGCUUGCUAAUGUUUCUUUUCUUAAGCAAGUUUGUUGUAUUUAUCAAUAACUAUUUAAAGCUCAUCAGUAAUCAUAUCCAAAUUUGUCAGAAGAAGUUUACAAUUAAGAUAUUUGAAGGGCCUUACCUCACUUGGUUCACCUAUUGCCAUAAAGCACAUGUUGGUUGUUUCUGCAUCAUCUUUAGGUUUAUCUUCAUCACUCCAUGCCCUAAAGUUUUUGUUUUUCUUGUAUGAUCUUUUCCUUGAAACACCUUGGCUUUUGAUACUUAGAGAAUUUCCUAAGUUUGAGAUUUUGGACAAUAUACGAUUUGAGCAAACAUGUCGUAUUCUAAGAUACGAUUAUGACCCCUCCUCUUGUAUGGUAGGUAGUGUAGUUUGGUUGUAUUAUGUCCAAGGUAUGAUUAGGCCUCUCCCUAGUCAUAUGAUAUGGUAUGAGGUGUAUGUUAUUAAGUCAUAUGAUGCCUAUUUUAAGUCUAGAUGAUUCUAAUUAAGGUACGGUUCAAAAGGUACUAGUCGUAUGUUAGGAUAUAAGUCAACCGUAUAUGGUCAUAUGUUGGGAAGUAUGGAGGUGCAAGAUGAGGCCUAGGGUGAUAAAUAUGGUUACCACUCAUACCCUAGGGUAUGGUUUGGGUAGGGUGGUCAUACCCUCCUGCCACCAAAUUUUUAGCAUAUGUUGAGGGUAUUCCAGACAUUUCCUGUAAGGCCCUACAAAGUCCUAGUCAUUUCAGUCCUUUAUAGCAUGACAAAAGAGGCCCCAGACUUAGAAAAUUUCAGCCAAGUGUUGAAACUUAGUCUUCUUUUUUGGCCUCAACAUUCCAAUGGUUUUAGUUUUGAUCUUUCUGGCCUUAGAGUGUCAAUUUUUAAAUUGAUUCAUGAUUAGGGUUAUCUAUAGGUUAUCUCAGGUGAGUUUUAGAACUUUCGAACGUCGUUUGAGUCACUUUUGGAUGACCAAAAAAGCAAGCCAACGCAUUCAGGAUGCAUUGCGAUGGCUAUCGCAUCGUCACCAUCGAUGCGACACAUUGGUAAUCGCAUCGAUACCAUCGAUGUGAUGCGUCGCCUAUCGCAUCACUGGGCAUUUUUCAUCUCAUUUAAUUUUGAGUCCUAAGGGGUAUUUUAGUCUUUUCCCUUCUCUCUAACACGGGAUUUAGGUCCCAAAACAACAUUUUUGCCUCAUUUACCAUAAUUCUCUCAAAAUCAAAAGCAUUCCCUUUUAAGAAAAAACCCUAGCCCCUUUAGCAUUCAAGUUCAAAUUAUAAAAGACCCCUUAAUAAUUUCCAAGAAUUCAUCAAUCAAGGUAUGUUUAGAUGUUCAUCCUUUGGUUCCUUCCAUCCCUGGAUUUCAAGAAUUCUUCUUUAAUCUUAGAUUAUGAUAUAUAUUCCUGUAUGGAAUCGUGUUCAUGUAUGUGAUGUUGUGUGUAUUUCAAUCCAAGAGUAUUUUGAGUUUCAUAUGAAUUAAUCAUAAUGUAUGUUGAUUUAAGUAGCCCUCAUGCUUAAAUAUUGAGUUUUGGAGUUGAAUGGGGUAGUCAUGAUAAUUCAUACAUUGCUCAUUCUCGUGUAUAGGAGUUAUGUAUCCAAAGUGUUUGACAAAAUGUUUAUGUGAUGGAAUUGUGCAUGAUAACUUAUGUGUGAGGUUUUAAGGUUGAGAUAUGGUUCCAUUAUCUAUGCUAUCGAGUCCUGGGGGUAUCGAAUACCCAAAAUUUAGUUGUUGUCUAGUUUUCCAGAGUCUAUAGAAUGAAUUUAGUUAUAUCAUGAGUGACAUUCACUUAGUUAGUUAACAUAGUCAAGUGUCAAAUCAGUCAAGCCUAGUACAUCCUAGUGAUUAGUUUAGUGUCGAUUUAGUUAGGAGUAUGAUUCAGCACUGAGUAAACCUAGGGACGGGGGGCUCACCUACCAGUUGAGGGUGUGACCCUUAGUAGUAAUCUCUGCGUUCCUGAACUAUAUAGCCAGUAUAGGUUUGAGUUGUUAACCUACCAGUUGAGGGUUAACGCAUAUAUCACCAGAGUACCUGCUAGUAGAGGGUAACUCUUUAGUCCUUCGGAACUUUACUUUAGUGGAUCCACACAGUCAGAUGUUAGUACCCAUGGCAUGGUGCUGACACCCUUCCAACUAGUUUAUAGGUUGGACCCCAAUCAGUUCAGAGCGGGGCAUGUCGAUUAGAUGAUAACUCCAACAGUUAUAGUUUCAGUAUUCUGUGUUCAGUACCCAACUCGGUUCAGCUAUACAUGAUCAUGAUUUCAAGUCACCAAAAAUCAAUUAUCAGAAAUUCAGUACUUCAACUUCAGACUAAUUUAAACAGAUGAUACAUGCUUGGUAGGGCGUGUACAGUACUCACAGUAGUCCCAGCUUGGCAUAUAUUUUCAUCCAGUCAUUCCAUGAUAUUUAGCAAUUAUAAUCUUGUACGUAAGACAUGCAUAUCAGCCUAUCCUUACCUAGCAUACUAGUACAUUCAAAGCACUGAUGCAUACUUUCUUUAUGCUAUGAUGUCUCAUAUCAUAGGUUUAAAUGCUCGGGUUCCUAAUCGUACUUAAUCAAAUUCAGUUGAUAAUCCACAGCUAUAGUAGUGAGUCCUCAUCCAUCGAGGGCAUGACACUUAUUUUGUCAUUUUGUAAUUUAUAGUAUUUCAGCUUUUCAGUUACUUUAAUAUCGUAUUUGUGAGUUAGUUGGGGCCUAUCCCAUCAACUCGUCAAAUUCAAAUGUUAGUGGCUUUCAGACACUUUCAGUUAGUAGUUAUUCCACAAUUAUACUCAAUAUUGAUUUCAGUUCUAUGAAACUUAUGGCAUUUUCAAUUUUACUUUUGCACAUGUUUUUCAUGAUUAUUACUUAGUGCUCACAACAGGUACCAUUCACGGGUUAGCUUAUGGUUCUUCGAGAUUAUAAGCACCAUGUGAUACCCAGGGUGUAGUCUCGGGGCAUUAUAUUUCCCUCCCUAAAACCCUUAAGUCCCUACAUACUAUAAACUGUUAUGGCCUCUUAUAACAUAUAUUUCAAAGAUAAAAUAUUCCAAAAUAACUCUCUAACUCUCCCUUGAAGAUUGGGGCUAAGGUUUCUACAAGUACUCAUCUGGAGGCUCAAGAGUUAAGUUUCACUUCGUGAAUCUUUUAAAAUAAGGCAUAUGACUCUUUCGUCAUUGUUAGCUAUCAAAUAUCAUGUGUUUUAAACAUUGAUUUUGGUUUAUAAAUGGAGGUUUUAAAAACAAUAGUUGAGGGUUUUGUUUGAAUAAUGUUGAAUAUUGAUUAUUCUUGGUUUAGAUUGUGUUUAUUCAUGCUUUUGAUAAUGGUUUGCCAAUGUAGGUUCUUGGUAAUUGUGGUUUAAGAAAUGGGACAUGGGUUACCCUAAAUUUGAUGGUUUUACCUUGAUUUUGAUGUUGAUAAUAGCAUACCCUCAAAGUGUUUGUGAAAAUUCCUAAGAGAAUAAACUAGUCACAUGAUGAAUUGGGUUUUGCAUAAAUGUUUGGUAUAAGAAUGCCAAUGAAGGAUUGAUGAUUUUGUAAAGGUCUUGAUGACCAUAAAUUGAAUUAAAAGGUUUUUUGAAGUAAGGCAUUGGCCUAAUGGAUAGAAUGGUUGGUAAAUAGUUUUGUGAAGGCCUUGUUGGCCAUUUAAUGAUAUGAAUGUUAACCUUAGUGGUUUAGUUGGUUAAAAGGGUUUGAGUCCCUAAACAUUAAAUUGAUUUAUUUAUAUAUUUAAUGAUGGGUUUAAGUCUCUAAUAUUGAAUUAAAUUGAUGGCUUUGUAUAGUCAAUGGGUUCGGGUCCCAAAGUUAAAUGUAAAUGGCUAUGGCAUUGCUGUACACUAGCAAGUAGUGUUAGUAUGACUAUACAAACAAAGUUUCUUUGGUAAGUAACUAGCUUAAUAGUUGUGUAUGUGAAAUAAUGGUUUUAAAUUAGUCUUUAAUGUAGGAUGUGUAGCCGAACCGUGAAAGUAGAGUCUAAAAUAGUAACACAGGAAACUGCCCUUGUCGGUGCGGGUGUCUUAUGACCGAGUGGUUUAAGUCACCCAAAUGAAUAUAUAAAUAGGAGGUUCGAGUCCCCUAUGUUGUAUACAUUGGCUCUAUGUCACCUUGAUUAUGCAGGGAGGUUUGAGUCCCCCAGAUAAGCAUAUAAAAUUAUGAAUAAUCUCUGGUUUGUGCGGCUACACGCACUGAGGCCUUUCUAUUUAGGGGAGUGCUGGACCCAUAUAGCCCAUGGGUGCCUUAUUCUAUGAUGGUUAUGCUACAUAAUCCAGGUUAAUAUUUUCAAAGUUCAUGUCAAUCUUGUUCCCUACAAUGGGAUGGUAUAUAUCGCUAUAUAUAUGUCCCUACACUGGGAUGGUAUAUAUAGAUAUAUAUAUGUAUGAAUUGCAUUGGUUAUAUGCAUUGGCUGAUUGGUUUAAACUGUUGGAACUAUUUUAUCCUUACCUUUGAGUUACAUGCUAGUGUUCCAACCGCUAACCGUCUUUGACGCUGUAUCCCCAUGCGAUGCAGGCGUUGGUCAUACUUCUAUACCUCCUGCUUAGUAAUUAGACUCGGGAAUAGCUUGUGGCGACUUAAAGUGGUGAGCUUCUACACUUUGGAAGGCUCUAUUUCUUCUUUCGAGUUUGCUUAUAUCUUUAUUGGUUUAGACUUGGAUAUUUAUUUUGGUUAUGAUCGGUAGCAUGUCCUGAUCGUAUAUUCUUGGAUUGUUUUUUGAGGCUUUGUAUGGACAAACUUUGGACUUGGGUAUGCUACGCAAUGGUAUGGAUUUAGACUUGGUUAUUAUCGAUAGUAUGUUAUGGUUGUUGGUUGGUUGGAUUGGAUAGCGGGGUGAACUUUGGUCCUGGUUGGAAUUGAGGUGCCCAUAAUGAUAAGGCCCUAGUUUAGGUCAUGUCAAGUUGGUAUCAGAGCCUAGAAUCAUGGUCAGUUAGGUAUCCACAUAGCCAUGUCAAGUAGAGUCUCUUUUAUGGGUGUGUAGCAUGCUACACUUAUAAGAGAGAGACUAUAAGGCAUUUAGGAAUGUUUCACUAUCUUAUUGUCUUAUUUUAAGCUAUAGAGUUUCAGGUCUUGGAUUCUUCUAAUUUCUAUCUGUUUUUCUUUCAGAUCAUGCCUCCAAGAAGAUUUGAUGUUCAUGCAAACACCUCCGUCCUAACUGGUGAUAAUGUUGACAGUAUACGUUCUACAUCUGGAGUCCAUACCUGGUCAAGGGUCUUUGUAUCUGACUGUCAUCAUAGGGAUCUACCUAUCUUCACUGAUCUUUCUCCUGGGGGUGACACUCAUACUCAGUCGCUUUAAGAAGCGACUACUAACCUGAAUUUCGUCACUCUAUUUCUUUGUUGACUCAGUUGGUAGCUUCUCAGUCUGAGCAUGGUGUUUCUGUUACUCUAUCUUUUAAGGCCACAAGGGUUGGCUAGUUCAUGAGGUUGCAGUCUCCUAUGUUUAUGGGUACUAAGGUUUAGGAGGAUUCUCAAGCUUUUAUUGAUGAAAUAGAGAAGAUUCUCUGGAUUAUGCAUGAUUUGGAGGUUGUGGUGUUGAGUUUGCUGCCUAUCAAUUGAAAAAUAUGGAGUACCAGUGGUACGAAGAGCGGCAAUAGUCGAGGGGCGAAGAUGCUAGUUUUACCUUGUGGGAGAUUUUCUCUACUACAUUUAUGGACCACUUCUUUUUGUAGGAGUUAAGGGAGGCAAAAGUGGUAGAGUUUGUGAAUUUGAGGCAAGGUAGGAUGUUUGUCAAGGAGCAUGCCUUUAAAUUCCAUCAGUUGUCCUGGUAUGCUCCUGAGUUGGUGUCUAGGAAGAGGGAUAGAAUGCAUAAGUUCACUUUGGGACUGUCUCAUGAGUUGAUUCUUGAGAUUAAGGAUGCCUCAUUCAUCACGUACAUAGAUAUCUCUAGGCUGGUUGCGUAUAUGCCGUAGGUGAAGAAAAAGAAAAAGAAACAGGUUGAGUUUAAUAAGAGGCAAGGAAAGAAAUUUACGCCUUCUGAGCAAGGUAGUAGAGAUGGUGGUAAGUGGUUAAAGAAGAAGUAGGAGAGUUCUUGUUCUUUCUCCAUGGGUAGUUCUCCUUACCUGAAGCCGUCGGGUGAUCGUCGGUCUCUAUAUGAUGGUGGGAUCUGGGCACAAGGUGCCAAAUAUCAGGCUAGUGGGGCUUAGUCGGCUCUAUCGAACCAUCUUUUUAGAUUUUGUGGGCGGUCGCACCAUGGUAUAUAUAAGGAAGGGAAGAAUAGAUAUUUCUCUUUUGGUCAGAUUGGUCAUAUGUAGUGUGACUAUCGUUCUAGGAUGGCUUCUGGGGCUAAAGAGGUUUUGGUUGCCUCAUCAUCUGCUCAUGCACUAAAAGGUCCUGCUUGUACAUCUGUUUCUAUUUCUGGUCCCAAUACUAGAUAGAAUUAGUCAUAUGCUUUUGCGUCUUGCCAGGAUUUUGAGGCAUCUCCUGACGUGGUUACUGGUAUGUUGAAAUUUUUCUCCAAUGUUGUGUAUUUUUCACUUGCAUUAGGGUCCACUCAUUCUUAUGUGACCCUAUUUAUGGCUGUGCAUUUUUGUUUUGGUCCUGAGUAUCUGUCAAUUCCUUUUUCUAUUUCUACCCUAGUAGAAGACUCUGUGAUUGUUAAAAGACUGUAUAGGGUGUGUGUGGUGGCUAUUGGUUGUAAAGAAACUCUUGUGGAUUUGAUAGAGUUGGAUAUGGUUGACUUUGAUGUCAUAUUGGGGAUGGAUUGGUUACAUUCGUACUAUGCUUUCUUAGAUUGUCGGAUCCAUACGGUUAUGUUAAAAUUCCCUAAUGAGCCAGUCAUUAUAUGGGAAAGGGGUUCUCUAGUUACUAAGGAGAGGUUCUACUCGUAACUUAAAGCCCAAAAGUUGAUUUCUAAAGGGUGUUUGUAUUAUUUGGUCUGGGUUAAAUAUUCUAACUCGGAAGGCCAUUUUCUAGAAUCUGUUCUAAUGGUUAAUGAGUUUUCUGAGGUUUUCCCUGAUGAUCUUCCUAGUAUUCCUCCCAAUAAGGAAAUUGAUUUUGGGAUUGAUUUUGUUUUAAACACUCAUCCUAUCUCAAUCCCUCCUUAUAGGAUGGCUCCAACUAAGUUGAAAGAGCUCAAGGAGCAAUUGAAAGGUCUCUUAGAUAAAAGGUUUCAUCCAUCUUAGAGUAUCCCCUUAGGGUGAUCCUAUGUUGUUCAUGUGUAAGAAGGAUGGUUCCCUUCGGAUAUGCAUUGAUUAUCGGCUGUUGAAUAAGGUGACCCUAAAGAAUAAAUAUCCUCUUCCUAGGAUUAAUGAUUUGUUUUAUCAACUUCAGGGUGUUAAGUGUUUCUCUAAGAUUGAUCUUAGGUUGGAUUAUCAUCAGAAUGAAGUUAGGGAUAUGGAUAUCCCCAAGACUGCCUUUAAGGCCUGAUAUGGUCACUAUGAGUUCCUAGUUAUGUCUUUUGGGUUGACCAAUGCUCCGCAACGUUCAUGGACUUGAUGAAUAGGAUUUUCCAUUGGUUUUUGUAUUUGUUUGUCAUUGCUUUCAUUAAUGAUAUCUUGGUCUACUCUAAGAGUGAGGUAGAUCAUGCUGAUCACCUCAGUGCUAUGUUGAAGACCUUAAAGGAUCAACGUUUGUAGGCUAAGUUCUCUCAGUAUGAGUUUUGGUUGAAAUUUAUGACUUUUCUUGGUCAUGUUAUCUCUAGUGAAGGGAUCACGAUAGAUCCACAAAAAGUUACAGUGGUUAAGAAGUGGCCUAAACCCGCAACUCCAAUCAAUAUUUAGAGAUUCAUGGGUUUAGCCGAUUACUAUAGGAGGUUUGUGGAAAGUUUUUUGACUAUAGCUACCCUAUUGACUAAGUUUACCCAAAAGAAGGCCAAGUUCUUGUGGUCGGAUGCGUGUAAGGGUAUUUUUGAGAAGUUAAAGGAUAAGUUGACGUUGGCUCUAGUUUUUACCCUACCUGAGGGUAAUAAUGGCUUCUUAGUGUUUUGUGAUGCUUCUUGUGUUGGGCUUGGUUGUGUGUUGAUGCAGCAUGGUAGGGUGGUGGCUUAUGCUUCUAGGAAGUUAAAGUUCAUGAGAAGAACUACCCUACCCAUGAUUUGGAGGUUUUAUCUAUGGUAUUUUCAUUGAAUAUUUGGCAUCACUAUAUGGAGUUUAUGUUGACAUCUUUUGUUAUCAUAAGACCCUACAAUGUGUGUUUACCCAUAAAGAGUUGAAUCUCAGGAAAAAGGAGAUGGCUUGAGUUGCUGAAGGACUAUGAUAUGAGCCUCAAUUACCAUCCAGGCAAAGCUAAUAUAGUUGUUUAUGCUCUUAGCAGGUUAUCCAUGGGAAGUCUAGCUCGUGUGGAUGAGGAUAAAUAAGAGUUGGUGAAGGACAUUCACAGUUUGUCUAGUCUUAGAGUUCGUGUCAUGAACUCUGAGGAUGGUGGCGUGUUUAUGCACCAGGCAUCGUAGUCAUCCCUUGUUGUUGAGAUAAAGAAAAAACAAAUGUUGGAUCCUGACUUGAUGAAAGUUAAGGGAAAUAUGGGUUAGUAAAUGGUUGUUGAUUUUGUGAUUGGCGGUGAUGGUAUCUUAAGGUACCAAGGUAGGCUAGUGUUUCUGAUUUAGAUGGUUAAAGGGAAAGGAUUUUGGCCAAAGCUCGAGGAUCUCGUUAUGAUAUUCAUCCCGAUUCCAUAAAGAUGUAUCAUGAUCUUAAGGAGUUUUAUUGGUGGAAUAAUACAAAGCAAGAUGGGCUAACUUUGUGGCUAAGUGCAUAGUGUAUCAACAAGUGAAAGUUGAACACAUAAUACCCGGGGAUUUGUAUCAAGAUAUUGAGUUGCCCAAAUGAAAGUGACAGGUAAUUAAUAUGGAUUUCAUUAUCGAUCUUCCUCGGUCUUGGAAUCAAUGUGAUUCUAUUUGGGUCAUUGUAGGUAGAAUGACUAAGUCUGCUCACUUUUUGCUUGUGAAGACUAGCUAUUUGGUGGAGGAUUAUGCCAAGUUAUUUCUUACGGAGAUUGCAAAGUUGCAUGGUGCUCCAGUUUCUAUCAUCUGGAAUUAUGGUACUUCAUUCUUAUCUCAUUUUUAGAAGUCAUUUAAGAAGGGUUUGGGAACUAAGGUGUGACUUAGUACCGCUUUCCACCAACAGUCGGAUGGACAAGUGGAGAGGACUAUUCAAAUAUUGAAAGAUAUGCUUCGUGCUUGUGUGAUUGAUUAUGGUGGUAGUUGGUUCAACCAUUUGCCUUUUAUUGAAUUUGCUUAUAUUAAUAGCUAUCACUUUAGCAUUGGUUUGGCUCUUUUGGAGGCGUUGAAUGGUAGGAGAUGUCGUUCUCCCAUUGGGUGGUAUGAAGUUGGGGAGGAUAAGUUGUUCGGCCCUAAUUUGGUUCACCAAGCCUUGGAAAAGGUGAAGGUGAUUUGUUAUAGAUUGAAAGCUGCUCAAAGUCGUCAAAAGUCCUAUGUAAAUGUGAGGCAUAGGGAGUUGGAGUUCAAGGUUCAUAAUUGGAUAUUCUUGAAAGUGUCUCCCAUGAAAGGAGUGAUGCGGUUCCAUAAGAUGGAAAAGCUUAGUCCCCGGUAUGUCAGCCCAUAUUUGGUUUUGAAGAGGGCUGGUAAUGUUUCUUAUGAGUUAGAAUUGCUUCCUAGUUUGAGCUCCAUUCAUCCAGUUUUCCAUGUCUCUAUGUUGAGAAAGUGUAUAGGUGAUCCUUCAAUGGUUGUCCCUUUUGAAGGGUUGGGUGUCUCAGAAUCUUUGUCUUAUGAGGUAGUCCCGAUUGAAAUUUUGGAUCGUCAAGUUCAUUAGUUGCAAACAAAGGAUGUGGCUUUGGUAAAGGUUCCUUUGAGGAUCCAUAAGGUUGAGGAAGCUACUUGUUAAGCGGAGGAAGACAUAAAGUCCAAGUAUUCUCUUUUAAUCCCUGCUCUAGAAACUCGUGCUUGAGGUAUGGGCUUAUCUUCUUAUAUUUAUUUUAUGUCAUUAAUUCUAACUUGGAUGAAAGUUAGUUUGAUGUGUGAUAAUGAGUUAACUCGUGCUUUUACUUGCCUUUACUCGUCGUUCGAGGAUGAAUGAUCCAAGUGGGCAAGAAUUGAAACACCUUGGCUUUGGACAUUUGUAGAAUUUGCUAGGUUUGAGUUUUUCGUCAACAUACGAUUUGAGCAUACAUGUCGUAUGCUAGGAUACGGUUAUGACCCUCCUUCUCAUAUGUUAGGUAGUGUAGUUUGGUUGCAUUCUGUCCAAUGUAUGGUUAGGCCUGUCCCUAGUUGUAUGAUAGGGUACGAGGUGUAUGUUGUUAAGUCAUAUGCUGCCUAUGUUCAGUCUAGAUGAUUCUGAUCAACGUAGGGUUCAAAGGGUUCUAGUCGUAUGUUAGGAUACAAGGUAACCUUGUGUGGUCAUAUGUUAGGUAGUAUGGAGGUUCAAGAUGAGGCCUAAGGUAUGAGAUAUGGGUACCACUCUCACCCUAGGGUACGGUUUGGGUAGGGUGGUUGACCCUCCUGCGGCCAAGUUUUCAGCUUUUAAGUUGAGGGUAUUCCAGACAUUUCUCACCCUAAAAACCUUAAGUCCCCACGUCCUAUAACAUGUUGCAUCUCAUAACAUACAUUUGAUAGAUUAAACAUUCCAAAAUCACUCUCUAACUCUCUCUUGAAGGUUGGGGAUAGGUUUUCUACAAGUGUUCAUCUGGAGGCUCAAGAGUCAAGUUUCUCUCCGUCAAUCUUCGUGAAUAAGGCAUGUGACUCUUUUCUCAUUGUUAGUUCUCAAAUGUCAUGUGUUUUAAACAUUGAUUUUGGUUUACAAAUGGUGGUUUUGAAAACCAUAGUUGAGGGUUUUGUUUGCAUAAUAUUGAGUAUUGUUUAUUGUUGAUUUAGAUUUUGUUUAUACAUGCUUUUGAUGAUGGUUUGCCCAUAUGAGUUCUUCGUAAUUGUGGUUUAACAAAUGGGUCAUGGGUUACCCUAAAUUUGAUGGUUUUACCUUGAUUUUGGUGUUGAUAAUAGCGUACCCUUAUGAAAAUGCCUAAGAGAAUAAACUAAUCACAUAAUGAAUUGGGUUUUGCACAAAUGUUUGGUAUACGAAUGCUAAUGAAGGAUGAAUAAUUUUGUAAAGGUCUUGAUGACCAUAAAUUGAAUUGAAAGUUUUUUUGAACAUAGAAAUUUGCCUAAUGGAUAUGAUUGGUUUGUAAAUGGUUUUGUGAAGUCCUUUUUGGCUAUAUAAUGAUACGAUUGUUAAACCUUGGUUGUUUAGUUAGUUAAAAGGGUUUUGAGUCCCUAAACAUUAAAUUGAUGUAUGUCUUUAUUUGAUGAUGGGUUCGUGACCCGAUCCGACCUGGGGCCUUGGGCGUCCCAAGUCUGGCACGGACUGAAGACCACCUGUCUGUUGAAGACAAUAAGAACUUGAGGCAAGGGAAUUAGGGCCGGAACUACUAAAGGAUAGAUAUAGGGAUUGAAGGAAAGAGAGAGAGUGUGUGUGACUGGAGAUGUAAGUAUGAUUAUAAGGAGAAGAGUAAUGCAUAUGUUCCACUGGGGAACCAUGACACUAAGUCAAGGAUGGAGGAAUUGCUCACUAAGUUGCUUAAGGGUUCAUAAAAUCAAGAAAGUUUCCUUAAGGAUAUUAAGGCACAUAUUUCAGGUUUGACCCAAAAAAUGGAAGCGCAUGCUACUGCGAUUAAGAAACUUGAGCAGCAAUUUGGUUUGAUUUCAAUGACUUUGAAUCAACAUCAACCAGGCAUUUUUCCAAGUGAUACUCUGUAGAAUCAUAAGAACUAUAAUCAAUUUUUGGCCGUUACCACUCAUAGUAGUAAGGCAAUCGUUGAUACUACCGUGGAUGUAAUUGAUGAAGCCAGGAAUAUUGUUGUUGAUGAAGAUAUGGCACCUGAAGCAAAAUUUGAAAAGAUGGUGACUGGUGGACUGUCAUCACAAAAAUUGACAGGUGUUGAUAAAGGUUUUGAGAAGGAUAAAAUAAAGGAGAAGGUUGUCGAUCUUGUGUUGAAUACUAUUCCAUGACCUUUCCUUUCUUUUUCUCCGAGAUUGAACAAGAAACAAGAGGAAUGAAAGUAUCAGAAGUUCUUGUCGAUGCUGAAAGAACUAUCUAUUAAUAUUUCUUUUAUAGAAGCAUUGGAGUAGAUACUUGGCUAUGCUAAUUUCAUGAAGGAUUUGGUUACUAGAAAAUAGACAGUUAGUUUUGAGCCCCUGAUAAUGUUCAUCAUUACAGUGUCAUUGCCUCCCGAUCAUUGGUUGAGAAGAAGGUGGACCUUAGAAUAUUUACUAUUCUAUGUACCAUCAGGUCCUUCAAAUUCUCUUGAGAUUUAUGUGAGUUGGGAGCUGGCAUCAAUCUGAGGUCGUUGGUAGUAUACAAGAUGUUAGGGUUAGGGGCACCCAAACCUACAUCCCUGAGGUUAUUGAUGACUGACUAGACUCUGACAAAUCAGUUGGUAUUUUUGUGAUGUAUUGGUGAGGGUGGCAUCUUUCAUAUUCCUAGUUGAUUUCAUUAUCCCUGACUGUGAGGUGGACUUCAAAGUCCCUGUCAUCUUGGGAUGUCCUUUCCUAGCUACAGGUAGGGCCUGGGUUGACUUGGAGAUGGCGUAGAUGAAGGCUAGAUUCAAUAUAAUCAAGUUAGUUUUAAUGCAUGUUAAUCUAUAAAAAAAUCCAAAGGAUAUGAGAAUGGUGUUCGUGAUUGAUAUUGUUGAUGAUGUUGUAGUGGCUAUGCCCAUUGAAGACAGACUUAGGGUUGAGGCUUUAAUAACGGUUAUCAUGAACUUUGACAGUGAUGGCAUUGAUGAGUAUGAUGAGAUGGUGAGCUAAUUGUAUGGUAUAAAUUAUUAUAAUUAUGAUCCAAAGAAGAUGGAUCUUGAUCUAAAAAAUAGAACCAUUUCUCCAGCUGGACCAUCUAUUGAGGAGCCAUCAGUCUUUGAAUUGAAGGCCUUCCCAUCUCACUUACAUUUUACAGUUUUGGGGUCCGACAAUACCUAGCCGAUCAUUAUUGUUGCUGAUUUAUUGGAGACAUAUGUUAGAGAAUUUAUCUAAGUUUGCAGAGGUUCAAGAUGGCCAUAGGAUGGACUAUUUCAGAUAUUUUAGGGAUUUCAUUUGGUAUUUGCACUCAUAAGAUACAAUUUGAACUGGAGUGUAUUCCUAUCAUUGAACACCAGUGUAGGCUGAAUCUUCUUAUACAGGAAGUAUUAAAGAAAGAAAUCAUCAAGUGGUUAGAUACUGGAGUGGUUUACCCCAUUACAAACAUUAAGUGGGUCAACCCAGUUCAAUGCAUGCCUAAGAAAGGUGGAAUCACUAUGGUCCUCAAUGAUAAGAAUGUAUUAGUGCCCCUGUAACUUAUUAUUGGAUGAAGAGUAUGCAUGGAUUAUAGGAAGUUGAAUACUUCACUACAACAUUUUAGCCCUAUUGUCACUCUUGUAAAGUGUGGUAAAAAAUAGAAAAAUAUGUGGCCUUUGAUCAAAGGCUACACUUUUGAACUUUACACAACACUUUUUAGAGGGUGACCUAAAGAGGCAUAACCUUUGAUCCAAGGCCACAUUUUUCAAGUGUUGCCAUAUCAACUGCAUUUAGAAGCGUGGCCAUUAAGGUAUAAAGGCCACACUUUGCAUCUUGUCAUUGGAAACACUUUUAUUUAAUAAAGCUACACUUACAAAUGUUGCCUUUGUUUUGUUAUUGAGCACACUUCAUAAGCGUAGCCUUUUGUAUCACCUUUAUAACAACACUUAAAAAACGUUGCCUUUGUUUUACUAUUGGGCACACUUCACAGGCGUAGCCUUUUGUAGCACCUCUAUAACAACACUUAAAAAACUUGACCUUUUCUUUAUUACUAGCCAUGGUUCAAAAUCGUAGCCUUUUAUACAUCCUCUAUGAUAACAUUUAUAAAGUGUAAGCAUGUUUUAGCCACACUUUUGAAGUGUAGCAAUAUUGCCUCAAAUUUGAUAGUUCAAGCCACAUUUCACAAAAAUGACAUUAGGCAUAAAAAAUGUUAGUACAUAAUUUCUAAUUGAAAAAUAAUUAUUUUGAUCGAAAUGUACACCCCACUACGCACAUUACAUAAACAUACAUAUAUAUAUAUAUUUAAUCUCACGCACCAAUUAGCUAAUAAAUAAUUGAAGUGUAGAGAUUUGAUUUAAAAAAACAUGUCUUUUACAUACUAAUUAGAAAACAACAUAAUAAAAAUUUGUACCAAGUUCCACACAAAACCAAAUGUAUAUAAAAGUAUAUCAAAAUAUUUCAAAAAUUCAUCAUCACUCACUUCAAUCUAGAUCAAGUUGAGAUAUGACACCCACCAUUCAAAUUUGAUCCCCCGCAUUGAUCCUAUAAAUUCAAUAUUAAACAAACAAUAAGAAGUAAAAUUAUGCUCAACAACAACAUACCCAGUAAAUUCCCACCAAGUGGGGUCUAGGGCGGGUAAGUGUACGCAGUCUAUACCACUACCUUAAUAUGAGAUAGAGAGGCUACUUUCGAUAGAACCAACGGUCAAUAUAAAGCAAUCUAUGAUAAGAUAGGGAAUAGUACUAGAACAAAAUACAAUUGAAAUUAACAUAUUCAAUAAUACCAAAACCAAGAUACUCCAAGUAUACACCACAACAUACAACAUCCUAACUCAGACUAACCUUCUAACCUAAUUUGCCUCCUCCAUAAGUUGCUUCCUCCAUAAGAUAUAUAUAUAUAUACAUAUAUAGAGAGAGAGAGCAGGGGGAGGGUUGUAGCGAUAAGAUAAGAGAUCACAAAAGAGACAUGGUAUCUUCGGUUAAUAUUAUCUGAGCACCUACAGGGAUACAACAAUAAUGUCAUUAAGCCUUCUAAUCGAGCUCUAUAAUGGAGCACAUAGCAGUUGAUAAACAUAAGAGCCUUACCAAGCCCAGCUGACGAAGACUGGAUUUUUGGAUGUUGCUAGUGCAGUGACUUGUUAAGUUAGUAACUAACGCUUGAAGUAGAGAGGUCUGCUCAUAUUUAUGGAUUAGAUUCAAGUUGACCACAUCCAAGUUAUAAGACUAGUUUGGUUUAGACCAAACUCAAAACUUAGCUAGUCUCUGCUCUUUAAAGAACUCAAACACAAUAAACAACUUAAUGACUUUCAACCUACUUGUACAAAAUUUAUAAUUUCUUUAGAUAGCUAAAAGAAGUGUCCUAUCAAAACAACUAUAGACUCUAGUGUAAUGUUUUUAGGCUUAGGUUAAAGAAUCUGACCUUCUUCCUAAAAAAUGUCUGACAUUCUAGUGACCUAAAAAGGAAUAAAAAACACUGCAAAUACUUAGAAUGGAUCAUUUCAAAAUAGCAGCAAAAGAGUUUAGAAUUUCUAUCACCUCAGCUGCUUCUUUCCUUAACCACUCCUGUUCUGUGUAGCAACUAAUUCAAGAAUUAAUGCGGCCAGACAAACUGUCAGAAUAUCAAUAUGAGAAUAGAGGAAGAAUGCAACCAUACUUCCACACCUUGGAAAGCAAAGCCUGUUAGUCACUAAAUAAAGAUGGUGUAGUAAUGACAGAAUAUCACAGUGACUCUGGUAGAUUCCAACCCAAUUCUUAAGGAAUAUCAUGCAGUACGCACCCAUAGUAUUGGAGGCAGUCUCUUUGCAGAGAAUGACCACAGCUAACAACUCGAUUAGCAGUUGUAUGAUUUGAAAAACUAAGUUCCAAGAACUUCCCAUAUGAGAGUCCCCAAGCAGCAUCUGAUAUUAUUACUCUGCGAGUCACUGGUGCAACUCCUAUUUGUGAACACUUAAGGCGCAUCGAUUCCAUAUCCAAAUCUUUUUAUCCCGUUCACUAGGAAGAGAAUUCACCAAGGAAAGUCGCCUAACAUUUAUGGUAAGAUUUGCCUGCUGGUUUGUAUAAUAGAUGACAAGAGCCUCAGUUGGCUCUUUUCAGGAUUAAUAGGAAAAUAUCUAACAUCAUGAUGUACAAUACAAAACUAGCCUGAAAUUGUUUUCGAUAUUGGAAUAUCAUGUAUUUUGAAGUUUGGGAUAAAAUAGGAUUGAUACCUGACCAAAAAGAUCAUCCAGAAGAUACCGCCCAAGUGGCUUAUAUAAGCAACCAUAAAACUUAAUGUGAAGGAACUGAGAACAUACGCAUACCGUUUCAUUUAGAACAUAUCGAAUAGAGAAGAAAAAUAAUAUGCUUUGACGACUGUCAGCAACUGAGUAGAAUUCAUUGGAGGCUUUGGUUUCAUCUGAUCUUUCAAGCUUUGAUGGCUCUUCUAGUUCUGUAGGUUCACUUCAUUGGAGGCUUUGGUGUAAAUCUUGUUUUGUAUCAAAUUCAAUAGCCACAAACUUGUUCUUAGUCAACUGUGAUGAAUUCUCCAAUCCUAAAAACCCACCUCCACCUAGACUACCCAAUGUCUGAUUAUUAGGUGAAAGAAAGAAAGCCAAUCCAUCAUCAUAUCAACGUGGAUUAGUAUUAUACACAGAAAAAGCAAAUCUGUACAUCUAGUAUCUUCUAUAUCUAUCUAUGUAAAUAUAAUUUAUAAGCUCAAAAACUUACCCCUUAAAACUAAACUGUAUAGCACGAUUUAAGAAAAAGAAGGGUAACAAAUUUUGCAUGCCCAGUAGCAUCCUGCUUAUAACAUAUGGACCCAGGAGGGCAGAUGAAAAAUAUCAUUUUAUAUAACUACCAAUUUGAUGUGGUCAUGUCUUUAGUUUUUUCAAUGCUUUUAUCUACUGAUGCUCCUGAAGUUUUUAUGUAAUGCAAGUAUUUGUGACCUAUUCUAUAUCCCAAAAUCAUGACCUAUAGGUUACACAAACACAUAGUGAUCUCAAUAAAAAUUUGUUAUAGACGUGUACACAUUCAUUAAUGGGACUAAGAAUAGUUACAUCUAUAUACUACUCUUGUCAUUAUUAUAUUUUUGUUGUACAGUAACAAUAAGACAAUGUAACGUACUGUAGCCAUUUCAUACACCGACAUACUCAGAUUUACAGAUAUGAACACAUAUAGUCCAACAGACAAUCUGUUGAGUAUCACAUAAUAAUGCUACAACAGACAUUUCUAAUACUUUAAAUUUAAGGCUAGAUAACUUAUGCUCAAACAUAAUAAAUUGAAGACAAAGCUUUCUAGUAUCACUCGACCUUCUAUUGAAAAAAUUCAUGUGGAAUUUUAGAAAACUAUAUCUUUGAAAGGGUCAUUUGAAAUACGAGCCUAUGAUAUGCAUCAUGUCUUCGUCAAAGGCAAGAUUGACUACUACUAAGAUUAGGGUUGAGAUAGAUAAAAUGAAACUUCAUGUGGAGGUAUUUGGAUAGAUUUCAUGAAUACAAAUGAAAAGCUUGAGUUAGUAAAUAAAAAAGGUGGAAUAUGAGGAUGUCCCUGAGUAUUUUUGGCACUGCAAAAUACAAGGACAUAGAGAUGAUAAAUGUAGAAAUUCCCUCCCAGAAUUGAGAAAUUCUUAGCAAAAGACUGAGACUCAACACAACAAUAAAGCUCCUUCUAAAUUGGUAGGAAAAAACUGUAAAGUUAACAAAACUUAACCCAACAGUGAAAUACAAGAGUGAACCAAACCAAAUAAAAGGAAUGAAAUGGUAGAUAUGAUCAAGAGUCUAAUGGUGAAAGAUCCCAAUGCAGAUGAGGAAGGAUGGCAAAAGGUGUCUAGAGGACAUAUUGGGAACUGACUGCAAGGUGACUAGAGGAAAGAGUGCAAACUGCUGCAGCGAAGAAGAGCGACAACACUACGUACUAUUAGAUCUUAGGUUUUCCUAAGACCGCUGCACCAGAAGAUAUCAAGAAAGCUUACCAUAAAGAUGCUAUAAGAAUCAUCUUGAUAAGGGAGUUGAUCCUGAAAAGUUUAAAGAGCUUGUAGAAACUUAUGAAGUUUUGAGUGAUCCCGAGAAACGUGAGAUAUAUGAUUAGUAUGGUAAAGAUUCUCUCAAGGAAGGAAUGGGCGGUAAAAGUGGUAGACAUGACCCAUUUGAUAUAUUCUCAUCUCUCUUUGGUGGCAGCCCAUUUGGCGGAGGUGGUGGAAACAAUAGAGGAAUAAGAAAAAAAAAAAAGAAGAGGAUGUUGUCCACCCUUUCAAGGUUUCUCUGGAGAAUCUAUACAAUGGAACAUCAAAGAAACUUUCACUAUCUCUCAAUGUAUUGUGCCCAUAGUGAAAAAGGAAACGAUUUAAAUUAGGUGCUUCAAUGAAAUAUUCUUGCUGUCAAGGAUCUAGGAUGAAAGUCACUAUCAGACAACUUGGCCCAUCCUAUGCAACAAGGCUUCUGAUCACUAAUCCCAUUCAAUUCAAACUGAUAUACAUCAUAAUUCAACACAAACAAUGAGAAGAACCAGAUGUUGCUCAACUUUAGAAUAUUUUUAAAAAACUAUAUCAGCUACCCCAAGACUUCGUUUUAUCAAAAAGGAUAGCAUAUAAUCUGCUAAACCUAUUCAAUGAAAAUUUUCCUUCCAUUUAUAAAAACUUAAUAAACAAAAGUAACUAACAAACCAUACCUAAGUAGAAUUCACUUUAUAUUACAACAUGGCAUAAAUUAGCCCAAAAGAAGUGUUCAAGACAAUCCACAAAUCCAUUGGACCAAGCAAGCUUUCAAUGAGGAAUAUACAACUCUAAAAGCCCAUAAUCUAACUGCGAAAAAAGCUAGUAGUUGCAUACAACAUAGUGGAACCAAUCGAAAGCAAAUUCCAGGCCAAGAUUCCUAUAGAUUUCACAGUAUGUGAACGGAAAUAAUAUUGAAACUGAGCAGUAUAGAACAACUCUAUAUAAAGAACAACCCCAUAACCUCUCCUGUUUGUUCAACAUACAAAAUUUUACCUUUGGCAAUAAAAUACAUAUCUAAAUUUUUGUCCAUUCACACUGUUAUAGUUAUUCGAUGACUUGAUUCAACUUCCGCCCAAUAUCAUGUAAAGGUCAAGCACAUCCAGUAGUUUAUCAUCUCUAGUAUAAAAGAAAAUAAGCAAAGAAUGGACAAAAACAAAUAGCACAAAUCAAUUAGUAAAUGAACAAUCAAACUAGUUAGAUAAUCCUCCAAAUAUUUUAAGUUUAAUACUUAGAUACUUAAAUUAGUGACCCAACAAAUCAUAUAUAUUUAAGUAGAUGCACGCCGAGUUGAGUAUAUUAUCUAAUUCCCUUACUUCGUGAAUCACUGACUUUACAAAAACAACUAUAGAAUUAUUUAUCAGUACAUGUUUUAUCAGUUGCAUGACCAAUUUGAAACAACCAGUUGUACAUUAUCUCAGCCAACUAUUUCAAUUACUGCUGCUGAAGUAGAAACAGUCGCUAUUGCCGUUGUUUGAAUUUGUGCAUUAGCUAAGCCUUUUAGCUUUGCUCAGCUAUCUUGUUUUCAAUUUGAAGACAAUGGGUAUGCCCCUUUUAAUCUUUUAUUUUAGUUUUAUUGCAUAUAUUCAGUCUUUGCAACUGAAACAUAUGGAAGCAUUGUGUUUUUUUUGUUUUGAGUCUUUCUCUUAGAUUUAGCUGUUUGGCAGUAUUUACAGAACUUCUAUUAUGUUGGGAGUAUUUUUGGGGUUUUGGAGUCUAAAGAUACAAUCUUCAGAUUUUUUAAAUUGGUGUUAUAUAACCUGGAGGUCACGUGUUCAAGCAGUGGAAAUAACCACUUGCAAAAAUAUAGGGUAAGACUGUAUAAAAUAGACCAUUGUGGUCCGUCCCUUGUGUAGCGGGAGCUUUAAUGCACCGGGCUGCCCUUUUUUGCCAUUUUGAAGUUCAUAGAAAUGUUUCCAUAUAAGAUGUUAGUCCUAUAAAUUAUAAAAUCUUAUGUGAUUAAUUAUGUUUCUCUGAUGUUUGUUUUGAAGAAAUGCAUUGUACACAGUAGUUUGUGGAUUCUAUUGUGAAUGACCUGUUACGUUGUUUUUGAUAGGUUUUAGAUCAAUUGACAUGACUAGAUAUGGAAUUGGAAUUCGAUAAGUAUUGUGUAGUAGAUGGAAUCCCUACAACUGUGCUUCCAUCUCCGUGACACCAUUUAAAAUAUGAAAGAAAAAAAAGCAAAGAAAAUUCCAGAUGCAGCAAAUAAGUAUUGAUUGUAGAUGGCGACUUCACUGAGAUAAGCUUUCAUCGUUAUCAUAGUGUGUCAUGUAAUGAUGUUCCAUCAAGUAAAUCAAAUUUGGGAGGAAAUGAUAUCCUAAACAGGGGCUCUAUCUAUCAAAGUUCUAAAGAAAUGAAUGUUGGGCUGGAUCUUAACAUAAUUUACCUCGUGGUGUUUCUAUAUUUGAACACAGUUGGCUGCAUCUCUUUUAUUCAUAUUUCUCAAGUCACAACAUACCCUACCUCUUCAAAUAAUCCUUGACCUCAAAGGUUUCCAGAACAAUACAUUAAAGUAUUCACUAAAGAUUUCCAGCAUUCGCUAUACAAGAGUCUGGAAAAAAGGGUCCUAUCCCAUAUUUUUGGAACCGGAGGUUUUCAAAUCUUAAACUCAAAACUACCGAAGAAGUGACAUCAACUUUACCAAUUACUCCCCAAAGCUACGAAUAUAACUAAAGAGUAAGGUUCACCUUUUGUCUGGUAUAAGUACAAUAUGAAGGUCCAUGUUUUAUCGAUAUAAAUACAAAAUUAAGCUAAUCUAAAUAGGAUAUAAGAGUGUAGGGUCCCAGUCAUCUACCUCAUUUUUGCUCUUCCACUUCCCCUUUCAUUUAUCUAAGAACCAAAUCACACUAUACGAUUACUUUGAACAUAUUGCUAACUGGCCAAACAUGUGUUACAUAUGUUGGAUGGUGCAACACCAGUUCAUCCAACAACAUUCAAUUACCGAAUUCCAUUUUACUAUUUGUUAGAUUCGAUUAGCUUAUUUGUCAAAUUUAACUGAUUUAAAACCUUAUUUUUGAGAUCUUUACUUUAGUUGUAUCAAAAAUUAAUUCAAGGAUGUAUUUCUAUUUAUCUCAAACUAGACUGAUCUUUGGUAUUUCACUUUGUCUCUUACAACUUUCACACCAAAUGGGAAGUUGGGAUCCAAAACUAGCCUAAAGCUGGUAAGAUGGCUACAAUUGUUACGAGAACAAACAAAAAACAUGAAGAACAAUAUAUUCAAACAACUUUCCAGUUUGCUAAUCGAACCUGACUCAUACACAACGAUUUUUCUAUUUUCAGCAGGUUACUUUUUAAACAAAAUCACCUAAAAAUUGCACAAAUAGAACACAAAUAAAAGCUCAUUCAACUUGAACAUUGAAUUUUUUUUUUCAAAACAAGACAUUGAGCAGCAAAAUAAUUUAUGGAUCCAUUAUUAGCUACUAACAAAUGAAAGGUAUAAGAUUGAUGUCAUUGCUUUAUUUACAAUAAAACUUCCACAGUUUUGAUGACAAAUUGUACGAAAAUCCACAUCACCCAAAAUCCCAAAUAAAUCAAAUCCUAAAUUCUAAUUUUUCACUUAAUUUCAACGUCAAUGGCAAUAUAUAAUGGGAAUUUGAGGUUUCAACAAAUAAUCAACACCCAAGAUAUGUUUAAUUUAAAGAAUUACAACCAGCACCAUUAAUUUUACAAGUUUAAUUCACAACAAAAUUCAAUAAUUAUGCCUGAAUUUAAGUUAAACACGAGUUUCUAACCUUCAAGUGAAUAGGUCGUACAAAUUAGAACUGAUGGUUGCUCGAAAUUGCUAUAGUAACUUCUUAAAAACUUGUGCUCGAACUGAACAACUUGAAUACCGAAGCAUUUAAGUCAUUAGCAAAAACAUUUGUUCAAUACUGACUGAGAGGUUUAAACUCACACUCACUUAUGUAAACAAGACAAGCAGAAUUUCAGAUCAAAUAAAGAAAUAUAGAAGAGCGAACAUCCUAAUCCACUAACCAAGGUGAAUAUUGUGUGACUGUGGCUACUCAACAGAUUGAUGUGUUAUUUUUCUUCAAAAUGUUGGGACGGUGUAAUUGAGAAUCAACCCUAAUUGUGCAAUAUUUCAUCAGCUGAAUAUUAUUAUAUUUUAUUAUUUUUUUGGGAAAUUAGAAAUUUGGGGGAUUAAAA